rnacentral:rRNA from 1 species
CGCGUAGGCGGGGAGGUAAGUCGGGUGUGAAAUCCCUCGGCCCAACCGAGGAACUGCGCCCGAGACUGCUUCUCUUGAGUCCCGGAGAGGAAGAUGGAAUUCCCGGUGUAGCGGUGAAAUGUGUAGAGAUCGGGAGGAACACCGGUGGCGAAGGCGGUCUUCUGGACGGUGACUGACGCUGAGGCGCGAAAGCGUGGGGAAGCAAACG